CCCUUAGAUGUCCUGGGCCGCACGCGCGCUACACUGACAUGUUCAACAAGUUUCUCCUAGUUCGACAGGACUGGGAAAUCUUUGAACGCAUGUCGUGAUAGGGAUAGAUCAUUGCAAUUAUUGAUCUUGAACGAGGAAUUCCUAGUAAACGCGAGUCAUCAGCUCGCAUUGAUUACGUCCCUGCCCUUUGUACACACCGCCCGUCGCACCUACCGAUUGAAUGUUUCGGUGAAGAUUCCGGAUAGGACUGAUUUGAUUUACUUCAUUUCUGACCUAAAAGCUAUCUAAACCUCAACAUUUAGAGGAAGGUGAAGUCGUAACA
rnacentral:rRNA from 1 species